GCAAGUCGAACGAAGCACUUUGAUCGAUUUCUUCGGAUUGAAAUUUUAGUGACUGAGUGGCGGACGGGUGAGUAACGCGUGGGUAACCUGCCUCACACAGGGGGAUAACAGUUGGAAACGGCUGCUAAUACCGCAUAAGCGCACAGUACCGCAUGGUACAGUGUGAAAAACUCCGGUGGUGUGAGAUGGACCCGCGUCUGAUUAGCUAGUUGGCAGGGCAACGGCCUACCAAGGCGACGAUCAGUAGCCGACCUGAGAGGGUGACCGGCCACAUUGGGACUGAGACACGGCCCAAACUCCUACGGGAGGCAGCAGUGGGGAAUAUUGCACAAUGGGGGAAACCCUGAUGCAGCGACGCCGCGUGAGCGAAGAAGUAUUUCGGUAUGUAAAGCUCUAUCAGCAGGGAAGAAGAAAUGACGGUACCUGACUAAGAAGCACCGGCUAAAUACGUGCCAGCAGCCGCGGUAAUACGUAUGGUGCAAGCGUUAUCCGGAUUUACUGGGUGUAAAGGGAGCGCAGGCGGAAGGCUAAGUCUGAUGUGAAAGCCCGGGGCUCAACCCCGGUACUGCAUUGGAAACUGGUCAUCUAGAGUGUCGGAGGGGUAAGUGGAAUUCCUAGUGUAGCGGUGAAAUGCGUAGAUAUUAGGAGGAACACCAGUGGCGAA
rnacentral:rRNA from 1 species